AGACUUUGAUCCUGGCUCAGAGUCUGAAGUCGUAACAAGGUAGCCGAGACUUUGAUCCUGGCUCAGAAUGAACGCUGGCGGCAUGGAUUAGGCAUGCAAGUCGAACGAGGUUUGCUCUUCGGAGUAAACUUAGUGGCGAAAGGGUGAGUAACGCGUGAGCAACUUGCCUCAAGGCUGGGGAUAGCCCGGGGAAACCCGGAUUAAUACCGAAUGUGGCGUCUGGUUGCAUGACCGGAUCGCUAAAGAUUUAUCACCUUGAGAUGGGCUCGCGUCCUAUUAGCUUGUUGGUGAGGUAACGGCUCACCAAGGCGACGACAGGUAGGUGGUCUGAGAGGACGAUCACCCACACUGGGACUGAGACACUGCCCAGACUCCUACGGGAGGCUGCAGUCGAGAAUCUUCCGCAAUGCGCGAAAGCGUGACGGAGCGAUGCCGCGUGAGGGAUGAAAGCCUUCNGGUCGUAAACCUCUGUCACCCGGGAUGAAUUUUGACAGUACCGGGAGAAGAACCACGGCUAACUACGUGCCANCAGCCGCGGUAAUACGUANGU
rnacentral:rRNA from 1 species